rnacentral:pre_miRNA from 1 species
UUGAAGUUGAUGGAAAAGUGGUAAUAAGGGGGAUAUUAACAACUAGUGAGAAAAUAGUAUGCAAGGAUUUCAAAAUUUUUGUUAAGCUCACACAAAAUCUAUGCUCACCGACACCCUUCAUCUCAUCCCAGCUACCUGGUCUGGUCAAUAACCAAGAAGCGACCACUUAUUUGGCAAACAGAAUGCUUGAAGCCAUUGAGAAGAAAAAUUUCAAAGUCCGCUAUCUUCUCACUAGUUGUUGGUAUCCCCUUAUUACCACUUUUCCAUCGGCUUCAAU